GACAGAGGUGCCAAGCGUUAGGCGGAAUCACUGGGCUUAAAGCGUGUGUAGGCGGAAUGGUAAGUACCUUGUGAAAUCCCACAGCUCAACUGUGGAACUGCUCGGUAUACUGCUUUUCUUGAGCCACUUAGGGGCUGUCGGAACAAACGGUGGAGCGGUGAAAUGCGUAGAGAUCGGAAAGAACACCAACGGCGAAAGCACUCUGCUGGGCCGACACUGACACUGAGAGACGAAAGUUAGGGGAGUGAAUGGG
rnacentral:rRNA from 1 species